UACAGAGGUCCCAAGCGUUGUUCGGAUUCACUGGGCGUAAAGGGUGCGUAGGUGGCGGGGUAAGUCUGAUGUGAAAUCUCCGAGCUUAACUCGGAAACUGCAUCGGAUACUGCUUCGCUCGAGGGUUGGAGGGGGGACUGGAAUACUUGGUGUAGCAGUGAAAUGCGUAGAUAUCAAGUGGAACACCAGUGGCGAAGGCGAGUCCCUGGACAACUCCUGACACUGAGGCACGAAAGCUAGGGGAGCAAACAGG
rnacentral:rRNA from 1 species